AACGAACGCUGGCGGCGUGGCUAAGGCAUGCAAGUCGAACGGGCAAUUUGAUUUCGGUUGAAUUGCUAGUGGCGAACGGGUGAGUAAUGGAUGAAUAACGUACCCCGGACUCAGGGAUAGCGGCGAGACUUCGGUCUCUUUGCGAAAGUGUCGGUAAUACCUGAUGAACUCGUAGCGUCAUAUGACACAUCGAGCAAAGGUCCGCCGGUCUGGGAGCGGUUCAUCUCCUAUCAGCUUGUUGGUGAGGUAAAAGCUCACCAAGGCUUCGACGGGUAGCGGGCGUGAGAGCGCGACCCGCCACAUCGGGACUGAGACACGGCCCGGACACCUACGGGUGGCUGCAGCAACGAAUAUUCCGCAAUGGACGAAAGCCUGACGGAGCGACGCCGCGUGGUGGAGGAAGUCCUUCGGGAUGUAAACACCUGUCAGGGGCAAGGAAAUUUGACCAGCCCCAGAGGAAGCACCGGCUAACUCCGUGCCAGCAGCCGCGGUAAUACGGAGGGUGCAAGCGUUGUUCGGAAUCACUGGGCUUAAAGCGCGUGUAGGCGGAAUGGUAAGUGUCUUGUGAAAGCCCUCGGCUCAACCGGGGAACUGCUGGGCAAACUA
rnacentral:rRNA from 1 species